GUCUUUUCGUAAAUGGGAUGAAAAGUCGGGCCUGCCCGGUGAGUGGUUGUUUAACGGCCGCGGUAUUAUGACCGUGCAAAGGUAGCAUAAUCAUUAGUUUUUUAAUUGAAGGCUGGUAUGAAGGGCUUGACGGGGACUUGCUUUCUUGGGAGGAGAAAUGAAUUUAAAUUUAUCGUGAAGAUGCGGUAGCUGGCUUAAGGGACGAGAAGACCCUAUCAAGCUUGAGAUGGGCAGGGGCUGUAUAUUUUAUUUGGUGGCUUCUUAUAUUUUUUGUUGGGGCGAUAGCUAGUUGAGUUGGGAAACUUAGUUUUUGAUGGCGAUAGUGGUGGUUAGAGGAUUUUAAUUUUGUGAUCCAUAUUUUAUGAUAUGGGGAGUAAGUUACUGUAGGGAUAACAGCGUAAUUAUAGUGGAGAGUUCUAAUUGAUAUUGUAGUUUGCGACCUCGAUGUUGAAUUAAGAUACCUGCAGCGGCUGAAGUAGGCUUGUGUGUACGGGGCAGAUCUGUUCGACUGUUAAAUUCUUACA
rnacentral:rRNA from 1 species